rnacentral:rRNA from 1 species
AGCAGCCGCGGUAAUUCCAGCUCCAAUAGCGUAUAUUAAAGUUGUUGCAGUUAAAAAGCUCGUAGUUGAAUUUCGGGAUUGACGUGAUGGUCAUGCCUUAAGGGGUAUGAACUGUUACUGUUGAUUUCUCACCUUCUGGAGAAACUUGAUGUCCUUUAUUGAGUGUCUUGCGGAUCCAGGACCUUUACCUUGAAAAAUUAGAGUGUUUAAAGCAGGCAUUUUUGCUCGAAUACAUUAGCAUGGAAUAAUAGAAUAGGACGGCAUGGUUCUAUUUUGUUGGUUUCUAGGAUCACCGUAAUGAUUAAUAGGGAUAGGUUGGGGGCAUUAGUAUUCAAUUGUCAGAGGUGAAAUUCUUGGAUUUAUUGAAGACUAACUACUGCGAAAGCAUUUGACCAAGGAUGUUUUCAUUAAUCAAGAACGAAAGUUAGGGGAUCGAAGACGAUCAGAUACCGUCGUAGUCUUAACCAUAAACUAUGCCGACUAGGAAUCAGACGAUUAGUUUAAUUUUUUAAUGACUUCG